AGCGUAGACGGUGUUGCAAGUCUGAUGUGAAAGGCGGGGGCUCAACCCCUGGACUGCAUUGGAAACUGUGAUACUCGAGUGCCGGAGAGGUAAGCGGAAUUCCUAGUGUAGCGGUGAAAUGCGUAGAUAUUAGGAGGAACACCAGUGGCGAAGGCGGCUUACUGGACGGUAACUCACGUUGAGGCUCGAAAGCGUGGGGAGCAAACA
rnacentral:rRNA from 1 species